rnacentral:rRNA from 1 species
AACGAACGCUGGCGGCGUGGCUAAGACAUGCAAGUCGAACGGACCGUUUAAUUGGGUAACUGAAAGAGCGGUCAGUGGCGAAAGGGUGAGGAAUAGAUAGGUAACGUACCCUGAACUUCGGGAUAGCGUCAUCUCGAGCAAUCGGGAUUUCCGAAAGGGGCAUUAAUACCGAAUGAUGUCGGCGGUUGCAGGACUGCCGAUCAAAGAUUGAUCGGUUUGGGAGCGGCCUAUCUCCUAUCAGCUAGUUGGUGAGGUAACGGCCCACCAAGGCGACGACGGGUAGCGGGACUGAGAGGUUGACCCGCCACAUCGGGACUGAGACACUGCCCGGACCUCCACGGAGGGCUGCAGUAACGAAUAUUGGGCAAUGGGCGAAAGCCUGACCCAGCAACGCCGCGUGCAGGACGAAGCCCCUCGGGGUGUAAACUGCUGUCAGGGGCAAGAAAGCCGCAAGGUUGAUCAGCCCCGGAGGAAGUCACGGCUAACUUCGUGCCAGCAGCCGCGGUAAACACGAG